CUGCUCCCCUCCUGUCCUGCCCACACUACACAUUGGAUGAAUUUGCCAUAGAGAAAUGAAAGGAUGGUGUAAGACCAUAUAUAUUGUUCCAGUGGUGACAGUGAACCGUGGCCCUUCCGGUAGAAGCAGGGCUGCGUACCAUGUUUCCGUCCCGCCCUGUGCCAGUGGAACCGUUGCCUCUUCCUAAGAUGAGUUUGACUGGAGGAGUGUUGGCUUGGUGUAUAGACCAGCUGGUUUCCCUUGAAAGCAAGUAUGAAAUGAAAGAAAGGAAAUGUGUCUCCCCUCAGAGCAAGAGUUUUCAGGUGAGAA